UACGGGGGGGGCAAGCGUUGUUCGGAAUUACUGGGCGUAAAGGGCUCGUAGGCGGCCAACUAAGUCGGAUGUGAAAUCCCCAGGCUUAACUUGGGAACUGCAUCCGAUACUGGAUGGCUUGAAUCCGGGAGAGGGAUGCGGAAUUCCAGGUGUAGCGGUGAAAUGCGUAGAUAUCUGGAGGAACACCGGUGGCGAAGGCGGGUCGUCGUGGGC
rnacentral:rRNA from 1 species